CUGCAACCUGAUUGGCUGGUUUUAAGUACUCCAGGUGUGACGUAGGAACCAUCAUGUUCAUUUGCUUCUGUGCCCCUCUUGAGAGUUGAAUUAUCUGUCAGAUCAACUAUUGAGAACAUGGAUACUUAGAAGAGAAAAGCAAGGAUUUCACAAAGUUGCAACAAAAAUACAGCAACAUCUCUAAUAAACCUCUGGAGAAUCUGAACACUGCCUUGAAUUUGAGCAGCUCAAAUUGUAUGGUUGGGAGAAAGCAGUGGCCACAAUCUGAGAUGGAGAGGGCAGUGGAGGGCAAGGAUGGUAACCAAAUCUCCCUCUCCGCUGAGGACAGAUUGAAGACAUCUAGCUUUGCUGAUCUGGAACCAAAUUAGCCUUUGCACAAGGCAAAAGUGAAGGGCCAAGUCUCAGGAAACAUAGAUACCAUGCAGUGGGGCAGAAAGGGGACAAGAUACUUCCCUUCUAUGAAAUAUCUAUCAGCAUUCUAAAUAUGAAAGAAAAAUAACUGCUAUUUCUUCUUAAUAUUUUCUUAUGGUAUCCUAACAUAUUAUCACUAAUAUCUGCUACAUUUUUAAUCAGAAUAAAAUACCUAUGUGGGUGAAUAUUUUAAUGAUCCUCUGCCUCCCCUCGGUGUGUGGAGGAAUUGGAACAUUAACCCUUUUGGCCACAGUGGAAAUUCAUUGCUUUGACCUUUCCUCAGACCCACGGGGCACCUAAGCUUUGAAAUUCUGAAGUUCUUGUGAAUUGACCCCAAAGUUCAUUCCCAUCCUGGAGGCAGAUUCAAUGAUAGAUCUGAGAAAGAAUAAAUAUCUCACAAACUGAAAGAAGGGCUACACACCUGCUGCCUGGAAGUAGAGAGAGUUUGUGUUGUUGCUUUUUAUAAUCAUUAGAAAACCUUCCAGGAGAUCAAAAAUAAGUGAUCAACAACACCAGCAGAAAAUAAUAAUAAUUUUUAGAAAUUGAAGGAUAAUUUACUUUCCUGUCAUCAAAGAAGAAAUGAAAAAAAAAAAAAAACCAAAACACUGUUUCCUCUCAUCUCAGCAUCAGCCGCACAUCAACUGUGACUGUGAAUCAGGAGUUGGACCUGGUGCACUGAGAUCCACACCAGUGGGGCUGUUUCUGCCACCCAGGCAUAAAUUGUGGACAGAUUAGCUGUUGUCACCAAGAGACUCCUGGCUUCUGUCAGCUUCUCUCCCAGCCAUUAUGCUAUUAAAAACAGGGGGUGUUUUGCAUAUU